rnacentral:rRNA from 1 species
GUGAGGAAUAUUGGUCAAUGGGCGAGAGCCUGAACCAGCCAUUCCGCGUGAAGGAAGAAGGCCUUACGGGUUGUAAACUUCUUUUCUGUAAGAAGAAUAGUCCCGACGUGUCGGGGCAUGACGGUAUUAUAGGAAUAAGCAUCGGCUAACUCCGUGCCAGCAGCCGCGGUAAUACGGAGGAUGCAAGCGUUAUCCGGAUUUAUUGGGUUUAAAGGGUGCGCAGGUGGUUUUAUAAGUCAGUGGUGAAAGUCUGGCGCUUAACGUUAGGAUUGCCAUUGAUACUGUAGGACUUGAGUAUGGAUGAGGUAGGCGGAAUGUGUAGUGUAGCGGUGAAAUGCAUAGAUAUUACACAGAACUCCGAUUGCGAAGGCAGCUUACUAAUCCACGACUGACGCUGAGGCACGAAAGCGUGGGGAUCAAACAGGAUUAGAUACCCCAGUAGUCC